rnacentral:rRNA from 1 species
AUUGAACGCUGGCGGCAGGCUUAACACAUGCAAGUCGAGCGGGGUGAUGGUGCUUGCACUAUCACUUAGCGGCGGACGGGUGAGUAAUGCUUAGGAAUCUGCCUAUUAGUGGGGGACAACAUCUCGAAAGGGAUGCUAAUACCGCAUACGUCCUACGGGAGAAAGCAGGGGAUCACUUGUGACCUUGCGCUAAUAGAUGAGCCUAAGUCGGAUUAGCUAGUUGGUGGGGUAAAGGCCUACCAAGGCGAGGAUCUGGAUCGGGUACGAGAGGAUGUACCGGCACACUGGGAACGAGACACGGCCACGACUCCUACGGGAGGCAGCAGUGUGGAAUAUUGGGCCAUGGGGGGAACCCUGAUCCAGCCAUGCCGCAUGUGUGAAGAAGGCCUUAUGGUUGUAAAGCACUUUAAGCGAGGAGGAGGCUCUUUUGGUUAAUACCCAAGAUGAGUGGACGUUACUCGCAGAAUAAGCACCGGCUAACUCUGUGCCAGCCGCCGCCGUAA